rnacentral:rRNA from 1 species
AUCUAUUAGUCUUGACCAAAUCAUGUGCCAGCCGUCGCGGUAAGACAUGGAAGACGAGCGCUAUUCAUCUUUAACAGGUUUAAAGGGUACUUAGACAGUUAAUUAAGCCUGCAUAAGGGACUGACUAACUAGAGUUUGAUAGAAAAAGGCUAGAACGGUAUGUGGAGAGAUAAAAUAUUUUAAUACAUGCUAAAAUCUGACAACGGCGAAGGCAACCUUUUAUGUAAAAACUGACGUUAAAGGACGAAGGCUAUAAAUAAAGAAUAGGAUUAGAUACCCUAGUAUUCGUAGCAGUAAAUGAUGAGUGUCAUAGGUAAGUGAUAUAGCUUACGUAUAAAUGAAAGUGUAAACAUUCCACCUUAAGAGUAACAUGGCAACAUAGGAACUGAAAUCAUUAGACCGUUUCUGAAACCAGUAGUGAAGUAUGUUAGUUAAAUUGAUGAUCCACAAAGAACCUUACCACAAUUUGAAUGUAAAUUCACAGGAGUUGCACGGCUGUCUUCAGUUGAUAUCGUGAGAUUUUGGUUAGCUCCAUUUAAUCAA